rnacentral:rRNA from 1 species
AACGAACGCUGGCGGCAUGCCUUACACAUGCAAGUCGAACGACACCUUCGGGGCUUGUGGCUCACGGGUGCGUAACGCGGGGGAACCUGCCCUUAGGUUCGGGAUAUCUCGCCGAAGGUGGUGCUAAGACCGGAUAAUUUCUUCGGACCAAAGAUUUAUCGCGUUUGGAUGGGCCCGCGUUGGAUUAGCUAGUUGGUAGGGUAAAAGCCUCCCAAGGCGACGAGCCAUAGCUGGUCAGAGAGGAAGAUCAGACACACUGUGACUGAGACACGGCGCAGACUCUUACGGGAGGGAGCAGUGGCGAAUACAGGAAAAUGGGCGAAAGCAUGAACCAGUACUGCUGGGAGAGUGAUGAAGGCCGUAGGGUUGUACAGCUCUUUUAUACGGGAUGAUAAUGACAGUACCGGGAGAAUAAGCACCGGCUAACUACGUG